GUUGCUGAGGGUCAAACACCUUUAUCUCUGGGCUUGCCAGUAUCUGGAAGGGGAUUAGGAGCUCAUCAUGCAGGAUGAUGGGUGAUAUAUUACACAGCUGGGGUCUGUGGUGUAGGGAGGGUGUCCAGCAGGACAGCUGACCGAAUUCCAGAGCUAAUGCACCUGCUCGAUGAACUCCUCAGACACAGUGCUGGAGAAAUCGUGUGUGUUUAUAGAUGACAGUUCUUCUCCCCAUCUCAGUGUAGAGGCUGCAUUGCCCCACUGGCCUCAAGAUUAGGGCAUGCUAGCUGGGAAGGGCGGUGACCCUAAGGAAGGUGGACAGCCACCUGGAGGUGCAAGACUUGGCAGCAAUUCAGGAGGAAAUCUCAUGAAACAGCCUUCACUGAGAAUAAAAUCUGCUGUAAUUGGCUGACAACCUUGAAAAGCCAAGUCUUGGUUCCAGUUGAGGUUAGCCAAGAGCUCUUCAAAUCCAGAAGAAACCGUCCCUCAGAUGCAGGGACCUUGCUCCUGUCUUUGACUAAGUGAGGCAGUUCCUGAGAGGGUCUGUGAGCCUGAGCACCUGGACUCCUGAUCCUGCAAAGGAAAUCCGCGAAGCAUCAGAGUGCCUGCAGUCUCCAGGAGCAGCUGUGUUUCCCUCUGCCUCGCUGCCCCCUGCAUCCUGCUCUGUCAGCAACACUAGCAGGGAUGGAGUUUGUGGCUCUCACUGGGGGCAUUCCUGGGUUUUGCAUAUGAGCCAGCUUGGUCUUCCCAGGUGUCUUGAAAAUUCUCCAAGUGUUUGUGUGGAAUUUGAAGGUCUUCUUCCCUCACCUGUCCUUAGCCUCCCCAUCCUAACACUAAUAAUGGCACCGUAUGUGUAAGUCAGCUUCGGCCACUACACGCCAGCUUGACGGAGGCACCUCUUAGCAGCAUUAGGAUGAAAAUGACAGGGGCUGUUGGCCGAGUCUUACUUUUACAGCCAGGUUGUGAAUAACCUGAGGCAGUCCGCUUUACCUCUACUGUCCUCUCACGUAGCAGAAAGCACUCCUCUCACUUUUUAGUUGAGAAAAGGAGCUGAGAGGGAUGCACUUACUUGGCUAAGGCAGUGAGUGUUAGAUCCAGAAUGGGCUUGUGGGCUUGCAUUCAGGACUACCUGAAUGUAAAGCAUGUCUCUUAAAAUAGCUUACUUUAAAAGGGGCACCUGGAUGGCUCAGUUGGUCAAGUGUCUGCCUUCGGCUCAGAUCAUGAUCUCAGGGUCCUGGGAUGCAGCCCCACAUCUGCUUCCCU